GAUGAACGCUGGCGGCGUGCCUAAUACAUGCAAGUCGAGCGAACAGACGAGGAGCUUGCUCCUCUGACGUUAGCGGCGGACGGGUGAGUAACACGUGGAUAACCUACCUAUAAGACUGGGAUAACUUCGGGAAACCGGAGCUAAUACCGGAUAAUAUAUUGAACCGCAUGGUUCAAUAGUGAAAGACGGUUUUGCUGUCACUUAUAGAUGGAUCCGCGCCGCAUUAGCUAGUUGGUAAGGUAACGGCUUACCAAGGCAACGAUGCGUAGCCGACCUGAGAGGGUGAUCGGCCACACUGGAGCUGAGACACGGUCCAGACUCCUACGGGAGGCAGCAGUAGGGAAUCUUCCGCAAUGGGCGAAAGCCUGACGGAGCAACGCCGCGUGAGUGAUGAAGGUCUUCGGAUCGUAAAACUCUGUUAUUAGGGAAGAACAAAUGUGUAAGUAACUAUGCACGUCUGGACGGUACCUAAUCAGAAAGCCACGGCUAACUACGU
rnacentral:rRNA from 1 species